GACAGAGGGUGCAAACGUUGUUCGGAAUUACUGGGCGUAAAGGGCUGGUAGGCGGCCAACUAAGUCGGAUGUGAAAUCCCCAGGCUUAACCUGGGAACUGCAUCCGAUACUGGUCGGCUUGAAUCCGGGAGAGGGAUGCAGAAUUCCAGGUGUAGCGGUGAAAUGCGUAGAUAUCUGGAGGAAUACCGGUGGCGAAGGCGGCAUCCUGGACCGGCAUUGACGCUGAACAGCGAAAGCUAGGGGAGCAAACGGG
rnacentral:rRNA from 1 species